GGGAAACUGCCCGAUGGAGGGGGAUAACUACUGGAAACGGUAGCUAAUACCGCAUAACGUCGCAAGACCAAAGUGGGGGACCUUCGGGCCUCACACCAUCGGAUGUGCCCAGAUGGGAUUAGCUAGUAGGUGGGGUAAUGGCUCACCUAGGCGACGAUCCCUAGCUGGUCUGAGAGGAUGACCAGCCACACUGGAACUGAGACACGGUCCAGGCUCCUACGGGAGGCAGCAGUGGGGAAUAUUGCACAAUGGGCGCAAGCCUGAUGCAGCCAUGCCGCGUGUAUGAAGAAGGCCUUCGGGUUGUAAAGUACUUUCAGCGGGGAGGAAGGCGGUGAAGUUAAUAGCUUCACCGAUUGACGUUACCCGCAGAAGAAGCACCGGCUAACUCCGUGCCAGCAGCCGCGGUAAUACGGAGGGUGCAAGCGUUAAUCGGAAUUACUGGGCGUAAAGCGCACGCAGGCGGUCUGUCAAGUCGGAUGUGAAAUCCCCGGGCUUAACCUGGGAACUGCAUUCGAAACUGGCAGGCUAGAGUCUUGUAGAGGGGGGUAGAAUUCCAGGU
rnacentral:rRNA from 1 species